UUGCGUGCUCCAUAACAUGUGCUCUGGCAGGGACGAUCUCCUUGAGGACUUACACGAUUACACAAUUGAAGAAGACGGCGAUGACCUCGGACCGACGUUGUUGAGCGAGGCAGUGAAACACCGGUAUAGUGAAGCCCAACGAGCGAAACUUGCAAUGAGCUUAGAGUGACGUCUGCACAAGACGGAGACUUGUACACAUAUUUUGAUAUUUCUGUUCAAUCUGUACCUCAAUACGUACCCUUUGUUUUUCUGACUUGGCAAUGUUCACUCGACACAGCUCUCCACAGCAUAUGUUUUAUUUGAAAAGUUACAGCAACUUGUUUUCUGUGGCUUCAACCAACCGAGUAACGAGCGCAAUUUUCUCUUUGUGGCGGCGCUGUUUUGCUGCUUCCCGUUCGGCAUGUUCUUUUUUCCUUUCUUCCAAAAUGUCAUCGAAUUUUUUUAGCAUCAUGCUAAAGUGUUAGUUUCCUGGAGCCUUCCUGCGUCUGCUGGGUCCUCGUUCCAGCUGUUGCUUGCGGCCCUGUGUCAGCACGCCUUACUGGGCUGGGUGGUGCGGACUCCCCAACUUGGCUUUCAGGUUGUGCCCUGAGAAACAGCAAAAGCUAAUGAACUGUGUUCGCAUAUAAUGUACUCGUGCUUGGUUUGCAGAUACUAAAGUGGUGCUAACAAGCUGAAGGAAAUGUAACAAAAUAGGGCCCCAUGCUCACAUCUGAAUUAGCCCUGGGCUCAUCAGCACCGCAGGGUUGACCCUCUUGUCUUUUUCAAGCACCUCGGAUAGUUCCCUGCAGGCAUCAAAUUUGUAAAGAACGCUACUUAUCACUAUUUGAAAAAUGCUUACUACUCAAAUUCGCACUCUACGCGACAGUGUCCAGAUGAGGAAUUUUUUUUCUUUGCCUUUUGGUACGCUCACUCGAGGGAUUUCCAUUUAUUUUCAACUUGGAGCGGGGUCAACAUUAGCAAGAACUCUCCGUUGAUGGCUUCAGCCAGAUCUUUCCAAAUGUCCUUCUUUCGUUUGUAAUACAUCUUGCCGCUUGACUUUUCUUUGAUUUCCUUGUACAUCGUAAUCGAAAAUUUUGUUUGGCAUGUUGUCCAGGAGUGUUUUCUCUCCUGGGUAGGGAUAUCUUCUGUCAAAUUGUCCACGUUUUGGAUUCUUUCAUCAGCAGCAGCUGUCUGAGAACUAAUGAUGGGUCCUAUGGGGUCGCUUUCCGAUGGGAAAGCUAAAACUCGGCACCCGUCUGUAAGAGCACGAAGCAUUUGCAAUUACGAAGAAUAAUAACGCUUGACAUGCGAACGCAUGCUGCAAAAUAUUUAAAAGGAGAGCUCUCUCUCUCUCUCUAUUUUAUUUAUUUAUUUAUUUUUUACACCAUGCGUUGUUGCCUCCUCAUUCGCGUUGCACCGUAAGAAGCAUUGUGACCUGAGGCAGCGAACUCAUUCUUUUGCCUCUGUAUCGGGUUACACUUCUUCUUACAAGCUCACUUGAGCAUCUUUUCUACACCGUCUUUGAUAAUGAGUUCGAAUGUGAUUAUAAUGAGGCAAAUCUUACCCUCUGUUGCAAAAAGGGCCGCACCGUUUUGGAAAAUAUGGUUACCAUCGUCAUCUAAAAAAGGCCAAACAGAUUCUGACUAUCCAUCAAUUUCAGCCGUGAAUUCCAUGAUGGAAAACCGUUUGCUUUGGUGACAAAACAAGUGGACGACAGUCUACUCCACUCAGAAACCGUGUAAGAAAUUAUCGCAAAAAAAGCGAAAACAGGGAAGUUCAUCAAAAUGCUUAAAAAACAGAAUUGGGACACUGAAUUUCAAUACAAAACAGUGAAGCAGCAGUUUUAUUUUCAGUGCUUUACUUUACGCGUCCUCCAUGUUGUCGUCUGCUACGAGCUGCACGGACCGCUGCACGAAGGUAUGAGGAGGUGCAACAUUUUCUUGCACUCGUGCUGCACUCCUGCGGCACUUUUUUAAAUCGAAUGAGAAAGUGUAGUGCAAAGGCUGCACCUUCGCCGAAUCGAACAGCAGAAGUUGCACUACUUGCACCAGUUCAAAAAGUGCAGCCCAAUCAAAGACACUUACUAACCACCAGUCUAAUUCGUACUGCGUGACGUUUUUCGUAUUGCGGGGUUCGUGUCUACACACGUCACAACAUGUUCAAACACGUCCAAACAUGUUCAAUGACGUCAUAGAGAGGGAGAGAGAGGAACUAGUGUGUCCAGGGGCGACUUCGACGGUUCGCCGCCCGUGUCUGAACACGUCCAAACAUGUCCAAACACGUUCAAUGUCAUCAUAGAGAGUGAGAGGAAAAGCUUUACUAUAAAUAUCGAAGCGAACGUUUGAUCGUCAUUCUCGUGUCAUCAUGAUCAGCUUGGUAGAUCCUCGUAAGUAAUACCCAUGACGUCAUCAUCGAAAUGUUUGAAGAGUUCACUGCAGCAUCUGCAAAUGCAAACCGUUGUUUGGUGGCACGACCAUUUUGGAUAGUGCAAGAGAUAGGUUAAAGAGGGAAGUGAUAGAAGCGUAUCAUAUCUGGCGACUCGGUAGCGAGCGAUGUGUGAGUCAGCCUUCCGUGCCACUGAGCAGGAGGGAGCUAGAUAUGUUGCACGCGUUUUGGUCUCGCUAAGAGAUAGUGGGGUGGGCGUGCCCACCAGGUUGAGCUGUGGUUGCCCCGGCGCCCUAGUGUGUGUUCUUUUCUUUCUUCAUUGCAUUAAAGUUGUUAGUGGCGCACGUUACUGCUUUGUCUACCUCUGUACGGUUUGUAACACUUUGCAGCGUUUUUUGCUACUUGCUUCGUUUCCAGUUUACAACACUUUUGCUGCGCGUGAAGUCGGUUUUUUCCCGCCUCACAUAUUUCGGGAGAUUGGCAGCGCCCACUUCUUCUGCACCAACUGCGGGGGAUUGUGGUCCAAAGAGCAAAAGCACUGGACGGACCGAUUGAUACGCCCGUUUCUCGGCUGUCGGACGGUACCGUUCGACGUUCGUUGCGAAGGACUUCGACUAUUGAAGCAAGAUGGAUCAUCAGUGUCACUCUGUGACUGAAGAUGAUUAUUACGAGUGGCUACUGACGGGAGAUCUACCCCUGGUCCUAACCUUCAAGCCUCCUCCAAAGACCAAUGGCUGGUCGAGAAACCCCAGCCAUUGGUUAGACUCGAGCCUUCGUCCGUAUUUCGGCUGUCUUCUCGGCUACGAAACCAAAGCUGGAGCCUAAUUCAUGUGUAACCUCUCACGAGAAAUAAAAAUAAAGGUUGUGUUUAUG